ACUGCUCAGUAACACGUGGAUAACAUGCCCUAGAGUGGAGGAUAAUCUCGGGAAAUUGAGGAUAAUACCCCAUAGAUCAUAGGAUCUGGAAUGACUUAUGGUCGAAAGUUCUGGCGCUUUAGGAUUGGUCUGCGGCCUAUCAGGUUGUAGUGGGUGUAACGGACCCACUAGCCGACGACGGGUAUGGGCCUUGAGAGAGGGAGCCCAGAGAUGGAUUCUGAGACACGAAUCCAGGCCCUACGGGGCGCAGCAGUCGCGAAAACUUCACACUGGAGGCAACUCCGAUGAGGGAAUUCCUAGUGCUAGCACAUUAGUGUUAGCUUUUCUUAAGCGUAGAUAACUUAAGGAAUAAGGGCUGGGUAAGACGGGUGCCAGCCGCCGCGGUAAUACCCGCAGCCCAAGUGGUGGUCGAUUUUAUUGAGUCUAAAACGUUCGUAGCCGGUUUGGUAAAUCCUUGGGUAAAUCGGGAGGCUCAACUUUCCGAAUUCCGAGGAGACUGCCAAACUUGGGACCGGGAGAGGCGAGAGGUACUUCUGGGGUAGGGGUAAAAUCCUGUAAUCCUAGAAGGACCACCGGUGGCGAAGGCGUCUCGCUAGAACGGAUCCGACGGUGAGGGACGAAGCCCUGGGUCGCAAACGGGAUUAGAUACCCCGGUAGUCCAGGGUGUAAACGCUGCAGACUUGGUGUUGGGGACCCUACGUGGGUGUUCAGUGCCGGAGAGAAGUUGUUAAGUCUGCUACUUGGGGAGUACGUCCGCAAGGAUGAAACUUAAAGGAAUUGGCGGGGGAGCAC
rnacentral:rRNA from 1 species